GAUUGCCCGAUUCUGUUAUUAACAAGGCAUAAAUCUCUGCAUUAGUCACUCUUGGUCUUUGGGUCACAACCCCCGGGAGAGGUCGGCAGCAGAUGCCCAGUGCAGGUCAUGGCCCUCGGCCCAUUACCUGCCCCAUUAGCUGGGGCGGCAGAGGUGGGCUGGGGGCCAAACACUGGGCUGGCACCCCCUUUACACCCAUUUCCAGCUUUACACGUCACUCUGCUGGAGCUUUUUAGGCUUUACCAGUCAUGACUGUGAUACUGGGAUCCUGACACUGCAUUCCUGAGCAGGAUCUCAGGCAUAAAUACACAGAAAUUAGCCUGGCCACCUUCACCUUCCAUCCUUGGGGCCUCCCAAAACCUCCUGCCACAUACCAGAAGAAAUGGGAAUUAAUACAAAGGCAACAGAUAGCUGUCACCAGCCUGUUCUUCCUCUUGCUUUUCCUACCACCCUCCUUCUUCCCUGUUGCUUUUCCCCCUUUUUUUGCUCUGAACCCAGCACUGGAUCGGGUUGUUUGAUGUUCUCCACAGAUUUUAUUAUCAGAGGAGGCAGCAAAAAGCUAUUGGACUUCAUGCACUGCUCAUAUUCCCUUCCAGUCAUGUCCCUACCAGGCUGAAGAGCCUCAGCUGCUUGCACAGCCCGUCUCACACCUCUGCUCCUUCCGCAUACUGGUUCAUGUUGCUGCAAGUAUAGACCAGUCCAAGGAGGAUCUUCCACUGUGGCCCUUAAAAGGGGAAAGUAUUCAUGGCUAGAAAAGACCUGUUUCCUGCUGCAUCAACUCUGAAUGGCCAGACCUUACAUCCUGGAGUCAGCUUUAGGCCCCUCACGACAAGAAAGACCUUGAGGUGUUGGAGUGAGUUCAGAGAAGGGGAGAUUCAGAUUGGAUCUGGGGAACAAUUUCUUCCCCAAAGGGCUGUUGGGCAUUGGAACAGGCUGCCCAGGGCAGUGCUGGAGUCACCAUCCCUGGAGGGUUGAACAGAUGCAGAGAUGAGGUUCUCAGGGACAUGAGGCAGUGCCAGGGGUGGGUUAAUAGUUGGACUCGAUCAUCUUGAGGGUCUUUUCCAACCAAAAUGAUUCUGUGAUUCUAUGAUUUUUUCAGCAGGUAGUUGUGGGUAUGCUGUGUCACUGGCAAUGCUCUUCGGGAGAGCAAACAAGGACACAUGCAAUAGCCAUGUCGAGUUAUGGCAUUUUAUCAGGUCACGGCUCUGAAUGGCUCGGCUGCCCUGUGGGAUCAGAGUCCCCACGUUAGCACGGCUGCUCCAGGUCACCGCUGCUCACACGAAGCACAAAAGCUCUACAAGACACCAACUCUGCUUUCCAGUGUUUUUUGUCACCCAGUCGGGGAGGCAGGGUAGGGGGACCAGGUGGCAUCCAUCCAAAAUCCGCAAGUAUUCCAUUUUUGUCUUUAUGGGCAUUUUGUCAAGCAUAACUCCAGACGGUAACUCUACAAACAGUAAUUAACCACAAGCUGUGGGCAAUGUUAAAGUGCUUGCCCCCUAACCUGCUGGUACACAGGAAAUCUGAGACGCUGCUAAUAGGUUUUUCAGCAGUCGAAUCCAUUUCUGGCCCAAAUCUUUUUGAUAUGCCUCUCAGAUAACACUGUUCAUUAUUUUCCUGAGCGCUCACCCAACGCUUCCUGUUGUGUGAGUCUUGACUGUGAGAACAAACAAACAGCAAGAUGUGCAGGGAGCUGGUGAAAUCGAUACCCCUCCUGUUCAAAAGGCGCUGGUGUCAACUAGAAAUGCAGCUACGAAGCAGUGUAAUUAAUUAGCUAAAAUGCAAGGCAAGCUGACAGUCCUAAUUAAGAUGGGGAGUGACACUCUGGAGGUCCCUGGGCUGCCCACUCCAUUUUCCAGGGCUUGUGAAAUAUGUGGGGAUCGUCCCUCCUGCCUCCCAGGUGGCAGAUGGAGAGCACGGGGCUCCCCCAGAUCAAUAGCUGGUCCCAGCCAUGUCCGGCAGCAGCUGCUCCAUAGGAAGGAGAGGCAGGACCGGGUGGUUUCAGCAAAAACAUCCUCCCUCCCCAGCCGUCCCCUGCUCCAUCCACAGGGAAUGUUCCUCCUUCCUUCCCAGGGGAGAAAUUUUGAUUCAUGACCCAAAGCAAGAAGAUCCAGCACCCUUUCCAAAGAGGUCGUCUUUGGAGUUAUCCCUUUUCUAUAACUGUGGGUGCUCAAGCCAUCUGAUUUUGUAGCACGGUGCUUUCAGUUGUACCUUGUAGCAGUGAGUACCACAGGGAAACUAUUUCCUGGGAAAACAUUUGGCCAACAGUUCACUCUGCAAAUUCAGACUCUGGAUCUGGGUGUUUCUGUGCUGGGACGAGCUCCGGAGCCCAAGCAGCAUGUUACACUGGUGGGAAUUGGCCCAUGGAGCAUCUUGGCUGGAUCCCUCCAAGCCCAGAGCUGGUGCCUAAGGUGGAUCUGAACUGAUGCUCUGACCUUGCUCAAGUUUCUUUGUGUUUCAUGCCUGAUCCUGCCCCCAAAAAGCUGCCAGGAGCAUCAUGUACAGGGGUUCACAACUGACUCCUUUGGGCACGGAGUUAGUGCCAGGAGGGGGGUGCUUGGUAUUUAUUUUUGGCACUCAAAUAUGUUGUUGGUGCUGGUCCUGUUUCAUGCUUUCCUUUUAAAUACUUAUUUUUUAAAGGCUGCAUUUCAAGGGAUUACGCUCUGGAGCUGACAGACAGACAGGUCUGUGGGUCUGUCUGCUUAGCACUCUAUCUUUUCUGCAAAUACGCUUGCUCUGUAGCAUGUGAGCCCAGGAUUAAACGCACAGAAAGAAACAAUUCACUGAGACUUGGCCUGUAAAGUCUUUUGGAAGUUAAGUUAUGGCUGUUAAAUGUUAACACCAUAUAAUGCCCGUCUUUAUCGUAUCUCUGCAAUAAAGUGAUGACACGGCUCUAUUACGAGCUAGUCACAUCGAAGCUCCCAAACCUCGAGUAUUGUAACGGCAUUUAAUCGCCUUUCCAAGCGCCGCAGAUUUCCACUCAGGCUUUGUGCGCAGCGUUUCUCUGGGAUCGCUGCACGAAGGAAAAGACAUUUUGAAGAGCAAAGAUGAAAUUGUCAAGUCCACCCCCAGCUGUGCGAGCCCUGGGAAACCUCCCACGUUUCCUCGGCUGCCCCCGUUGUGUCCCCGCCUCGGUCCGGCCGUGCUACCUGUCCUUUGUCCCAUCCUCAAGGACAACUGCAAAGUUGCUUAUCAGCCUGUAAAUCAGCUGUGGCAAUAAAACGCUGGCAUCCAGCGCAAUAGCUUUUGUACUAAUGUACUACUUUGCAAUUGCUGUGCAUAUCCAACAUAUUAAUGACACAAAUUCAUUACAAUAAAUGAAGACACUGACUGGCCGGGGGCCAGAGUCGACUAAGGACAGAAAAAAAAAAAAGAAGAAAAAAGCUGCUUUUGCUCCUGCCAGUUGGCAAGUUUGAGAUGCAGAGUUGAGUGUGUUGGAUAUAGAGAGCUUUUGGCAAGCAGUGGGAAGAAGCGACUGGUAAAUGUAGCAGCAAAGGUGCCAGGCAUGCGGGGAGUGGAAAGGGAGCUGCUUCCCUGUGACUGGGGAUGGGACGGGUUUUCCAGGUGUGAGAGUCGGUCCGAAGAUGGAGCAGUAUUUGCCUGAACAUCGCCAACCAAGAACUUAGAGAACUGAGGCCCUGACAGAAAGAACAGAUGGACAAUGACUUGGAGAGAGGCCUGAGGAGAAGCAUUGUGUUGCACUGUUUCUCCGAUACGGGGGGGGCUGCUGCUUACCAUGGCUGCUGUGUGGACUUUGCCUGCUGCUUCAGCCAAACCAGCCCCUGUCUCCUGCAAGUGAUUGUUAUGACGGUCUCUUCGACCCAGGGACAAUAGCUGCCGUGCAGAAGAUGUGUUCUCACCUGCGGCCUCAGUCACACGUGUCCCCCACCUGCUCCCCCAAACAAUGGCCAACAAAAAGGAGAAUGCCCAGAAGCUUGCCAAGGGUCUUGAGGUCACCCAAUGGACUAGAGAAAGACCCCUGAAUGCUGGACAUGUAAGCAUUGGCGAAAGAAAGUGUGAAUCUUUCAAGCCUGCGCAGUAUGAGCCUGGGUUGUGAAAUCAAGGCGGAGACUGGCCUCAAACAAUGGGAGCAAGGGGGGGUGAAGAAGCAUAAAAGAUGACUCCAGAAUGGACACCAUUGAAGAUCUUCCCACCAGAGGAUCCCAAACCAUGACGGAGGACCGGCAGGACUCCACAGGACCGGCGACCAGAGGGACGCUUCUGGAACCGGACUGGUGAUAAAUGCAACCUCAUUUCUCAUCUUUGCUUUUACUUUUCCCCGUUUCUUUUCCCUUUUUCUUAUUCUCUCUAUCGCGUGCUGCUUUACGGGCAAAUUAAUAAAGCAACACUGCUUGAUUGAAUUAUAACCCCUUGGCAUUUUGGUUGCCUUAAUUUUGCACUCUGAGAUGAAGGUAGAAGAAUCAUCAUGAGUCCAUCGUCGAACAGACUGUGACACCAGGGGAAGGUGAGGAGCCAAACGGCUCCAUCAACAGAGUGAUGUAUGGUGUAAAUCAACUGAGUUUUCAGUUGGAUCCAUCUCUCCAUUUACUGAUCUCUGUCACUCCAUGUGCUGCUCUAUCCGUGGUCUAUUGAUCUAUGUAUUGGCAGUGGAUACAGGAAUUAUUGAAUACCCCACGUACUUUAUUGGCUUACUGGAAGUUUCUCAAUGAGGCUUCUGUGCUUCCAUCAGACCCGGUUUUCGGCUUCCCGCAGGAUAAAUGAAGCUUCCCCUGGUGUAAUGAGUGUUUACCCGGGGGUGCUGAUACCGUCAGAGUCUGUCACUGCAGGAUCAAAACCAGAACUGCGCAGCCUCUGAUAAAAAGGCCAGAUGUGCCACUUUAAUUAAUACAAUUUGCUAAACACUGGAACAAUUAAGUGCAACGCGAUAGCGCAGUAAUCUGCGGGGCCAGGAAGUGCUGUCCCCAAGGCAUCCCCAGCUGUUCCAGCUUUCUUUGCUACUCUGCCAUUUUCAUAAAUUUAGAAACGUAAAGGAUUUGCAGGGGAGACACAACAUCAAAUAAAGAAGGGAAGUGAAGGUGUGUGGGUGAACACAAAAGGAGGGAAAGGGACUGCGCACCCGCGGGUGGUUUGGAGCAGGAUCUGUUGUGUGAAUGGUCACAGAUCAAAUACACCUGGGGUACAUGUACACCCCAAAACAAAUACAGCCCCUCGCAAACACUGAGAGACAAAACAAACACAUGUAUAGGAGCUGAGACUAUCAAAUAUACCAGACAGAGCAAACACGUUGCACAAACACCCUGUAUCACAUUCCCACAGAGCUCGAACAUCGAGCAUCAGCGCUGGGCAGAGGCUGCGGCCUCAUUCCCUCCCCAGCACAAACUGACCAUCUCAUCCCUCGCUGCCUGUUCCUCCAGCACUGUAAUUUGGGCAUGUCCUUGUUACUUCUGUGUAAGAAUCAGACUACUUGGGCUUAGAAGGGACCUUCCCAGCUCCUCCAGUGCCCCCCCUGCCAUGAGCAGGGACAUCUUCACCAGCUCAGGUUGCUCAGAGCCCCGUCCAGCCUGGCCUGGGAUGUCUCCAGGGAUGGUUCAUCCACCACCUCUCUGGCCAACCUGGGCCAGGCUCUCACCACCCUCAGGGCCAACAAUUUCCUCCUCAUGUCCAGCCUGAAUCUCCCUCCUUUAGUUUAAAACCAUCACCCCUUGUCCUAUCACAACAGGCCCUGCUGAAAAGUCUGUCCCCAUCUUUCUUAUCGGCCCCUUUUAAGUAUAGAAAGGCCGCAACAAGGCCUCCCCAGAGCUUCUCUUCUCCAGCUGAACCCCCCAGCUCUCUCAGCCUGUCCUCCAGCAGAGCUGUUCCAGCCUCGGGUCAUUCCUGUGGCUCCUCUGGCCCCUCUCCAGCAGGUCCAUGUGUGUCCUGUGCUGAGGAACCAGAACUGGAUGCAGUAAGUUCGUGCAAGAAACAGAAAUGCUCCAAAAUGUCUCUUACAGACAUGUAAAUCCUCUGGGACUUUCCUACUUAAGAACUGGGGGGAGUAAAAAAAGAAACACAAUCAUGAGGGAAAAAUGAAGUUUCUUUAAAAGCUCACAGGUUGCAGGGAAAGUGAUGGGAAAUUAGAGACAAGUGAUAGAUGGACUAAUUUCCUUAACUGACAACCCAGACAGCUCGAUGGAAAAUAAAAUAAUGUUUGGGUUUGAUUUUUGUGUCCGUCCCCCCACCCCCCAUAAGAGUUGUGUGUGUGCAUAUGCACAUUUUCAGUAGGGAAGAUAUUGCUUUUAUAUGUAAUGCACCAUCCACUAACGAAACUGUCUGGAAAAGGGGAAACAGCAAUUAGAAAGAGUAUUUUGAAUCCGAGGUAGCGCAGCUCCCAUUCAUGUCGGGCAUCUGCUGCCACACAAGUGGGAAGGUUAACAGUGGACUUAAAGGCAAUGGAUUCUUUUUUACACCCUUCCCAUAAAACCUGGCCAGCUAAAAUGUUUUACAAAUUCAUAUUGAAGGAACAUCAUGAGAGUGAAUGGGUUAAAGAUCCCUUUCCUCACCCCACACACAUUUGCUGUGCUCUCAAGCAAUAUAGUGUUUUUCAGGUCUAUGUUUUCAGUGUGACAAGAUUCUAUUUUUCACUUCCAAAUGGAAUCUGACUCCCAAACUUAAUUCAGUCCUGUUAAACAAGACCCCGCUCUAUGCACCCAGAUGUCCUAAAUAAUAUGGGAUAGUUUGCUUGCCUUGAACUACUUCUUUUUCCCAAGAAACUGAAAAUAGUAAGUCUGUUACUUUAUAUAGGAUGAGUAGAAUAUUUCGCCGGCUCUGACAUAACGCAAAUAGUGUCUCAACCCAUAUCAGAGAUGUAGAAGACAGGAGUCUCACUCACCCUUGCAAGAAUGCCAUCAACCCAGAAUUAAGCCCAGCUCAGAAGCAAGAAGGAUCUGAAUUUGUGGGACUUAUUUAGAAAAAUACCUACACUUUUUGUUUGUUUGUUUGUUUUCCCAGCAUUUUUAAUCUGAAGACAAUUAAGAAGCAUCACAGUGAGGAUAAGAGGGAGCAUUGCCCUCUUCUAGCCUGCUCAGAGAGGGGAAGUUCUUGUUAAAUGAGUUUGACAACCUUUAACAUAAAUAGUUGAUGGGAACUGCUGAGAAAUCUUUAAAAAAGGAACAAAGAAGAAAAAAUAAGUUCCUGAGAAGGUUGGCAAAGGAAGGUCACCUUCUAGAACAGCACAAGUGACAAGGAUGAAGGGGCAUAAGUAGGUCUGGUAGGCUGGCUGGGAGGCAGAACAGCACCGGGGUAGGACACUUCAUCCACAAAUCAUGGAAAAAGCAGUGGCUGUGGCCAUCCUCCACCUGCAGAGAGCAAUUCCUGCUGUCCUGGGAGAGCAGCACCCUGGGCAGAGGGUGGUGACAGGCUGGACAACCUGCCCCACCAGCCUGCCUCGCCUGGGAAGAGCCCUGACACCACAUCAGAGGGAAACGAAAGCGUGAGGGGAUGGUUGAUUGAGGGCACAUCCACACCUGAGGCAAGGCAACCUUUCCCAGCCUGUCUGUAGUCCGUCUUGGCACCUUUUCCCAGCCCAUUUACACAAGUAUAUGAUCACACCGAUGCGAUCCUUUUGAAUAAUUCUGUUUGGAUGCACGUCCCUGUCCCAUGCACAAAGGUGUGAGACUGAUACAAAAGCCUCUGCACAAGGUUCAGACAGAUUCGGGGAGUGGCAAAGCUCAGAAAUCGGCUCUUUGGGGGUGAAAAAGGUUCUGAGCAUGUCCUUGAACUCUGGGUGGCACACUGGAGGCUGGGAUUUAUGGUGAAUCAAGCUGGAUUAUAGCUGCCACUUUAUCACAAAUGUGAUAACAAGUCCGUCUUCUUUCCCCAGCCAAGAGGGGACAAUCCAGCUUGACCACCUGUAGGGUUCUAAGGCUGGGUUGUCCUUCUCCACCUGCCAGGAAUGUCCACGAGACACAGCUCCAGA